CCUCUGGUAGCUCAGUUGGUAGAGCGGUGGACUGUAGUUGGUUUCAAAUUUGUGGUUAUCCAUAGGUCGCUGGUUCAAAUCCGGCCCGGAGGA
rfam:Zootermopsis nevadensis contig1929, whole genome shotgun sequence.